rnacentral:rRNA from 1 species
GACGAACGCUGGCGGCGCGCUUAACACAUGCAAGUCGAACGGAAAGGCCCUGCUUUUGUGGGGUGCUCGAGUGGCGAACGGGUGAGUAACACGUGAGUAACCUGCCCUUGACUUUGGGAUAACUUCAGGAAACUGGGGCUAAUACCGGAUAGGAGCUCCUGCUGCAUGGUGGGGGUUGGAAAGUUUCGGCGGUUGGGGAUGGACUCGCGGCUUAUCAGCUUGUUGGUGGGGUAGUGGCUUACCAAGGCUUUGACGGGUAGCCGGCCUGAGAGGGUGACCGGCCACAUUGGGACUGGGAUACGGCCCAGACUCCUACGGGAGGCAGCAGUGGGGAAGAUUGCACAAUGGGCGGAAGCCUGGUGCAGCAACGCCGCGUGCGGGAUGACGGCCUUCGGGUUGGAAACCGCUUUCGCCUGUGACGAAGCGUGAGUGACGGUAAUGGGUAAAGAAGCACCGGCUAACUACGUG